GACGAACGCUGGCGGCGUGCUUAACACAUGCAAGUCGUACGGUAAGGCCCUUUCGGUGGUACACGAGUGGCGAACGGGUGAGUAACACGUGAGUAACCUGCCCACAACUUUGGUAUAACGCUAUGAAACUGGUUCUAAUACUUGAUAUGUGCUCCUUCUGCAUGGUUUGGGUUGUUAAGCUCCGGGGGUUUUGGAUGGACUCGCUGCCUAUCAGCUUGUUGGUGGGGUAGUGGCCUACCAAGGCGGCGACGGGUAGCCGGCCUGAGAGGGUGACCGGCCAAAAUGGGAAUGAGAUACGGCACAGAAGCCUAAGGGAGGCAGAAGGGGGGAAUAAUGAAAAAUGGGCGCAAGGCGGAUGAAGCAAAGCCGCGUGCGGGAUGACGGGCUUCGGGUUGUAAAAAGCUUUCAGCAGGGACGAAGCUUUUUGUGACGGUAACUGCAGAAGAAGCACCGGCUAACUACGUG
rnacentral:rRNA from 1 species